GAUUUCUUGUACGAUUUCUCCCCGCGGGCUCUCAGACGUGGCAUUAAGUGAUUUUUUGGCUUUGUAAUGGGAAUAUUGUAGAGUAUUUGUUGCGGUACGUGCGGUUGGUUGCCCGGCCUUACAGUUGUUUUUUAUCAGCCCAAAGCGCCCGAGGUCCAGAGCAAAGGAAAGGCGGUUGCAAAGCGCGGGUCGUUCUCACCGCAGACUGCAGAUUUUGAGUCUGCGGGAUGCUGACGUAUGUGUUGUGGCCAUACCAUAACAAGCCGGCGCUGCGAAAUGAGCCGACGAAUGACCCUUCCCUGCGGUUCCCCGGUUACUGGCAAUAUGGAUAUCUUUCUCGAACCAGUUGCCAUUUCGGUCGAGCCUCCUGCAGAUCGGAGCAGAUGUCGCCCAAGAUAAGGGAGCGUCAAGUGGUGGCUGAUGCAGAGGAAGGCUGAUGUCAGCGUGGGCACGUGUGGCGCCCGUCCCUGCGCUGAAGCACGACCUGCUGGGCCAAGCAGACCGAGCCGAGUGGCAGGCGCGUCCGGCCGCGGCUCCGGGCGGCGGCCGAGGCUCUCUUUCCUAAAACCGGGUUGUAGUUUGGUUGUUAGUCGACUGUAGGCGGCGACGCAGAGGGAGGAUGACUAAUUUUAGUUAAGAAAGCUGGACGGUUCGAGUUUUUUAUAAAGUUUUUCGACAUCGGUGAAAACGGAUGUUGUGCGCCCAUAGGUUUAUGUUUGCAUCUAGCCCACUAAGUCCGAUCUUCCAGCUCUCGACAUUGAGAGUUUUAGUAUAACAUAUAGUUUUCAUUAUAAAAUUAUUUGUCUAUUUAUCUGUACUUUAUUUUAAAGACAGAAAUUAACGGUUGACAUUUACAUAACAUUAGGUUUAACACUCUUUCAUGCAGUCACAAGAGCAUAGACAUCAUUUAACCAAAGUACAACAUGCAUUUUUGCAAGAAAAAAUAUAUAAUUCUCCAUCAGUGUUAUGUAAAUCACGAGCAAAAUUCAUGUCUAUAAGCAGCGUAAAUUUCCUCGAUAGCCUUAUAGUCGCGCUGUUGAGCAAUACCGUACUUCCAGUUUCCAGCUCUCGGUGACGUGCAGACACACAAUUUUGAAAUUUGUCAUCCUGAAUAUUGAUAACGAAACUGGAUUCUAAUUAAUGUUUGCUCUUGCACUGGGCAUUAUGAUCUUUAAACUACUUUUCUUUGUCCCUGAUUAUGUCUAAAUAUUUGUUUUCCUUUUAGAGUUAAAGAGAUAAGGUUCAUUUUUUAAAUUAAUUUUCCAGCUGUCUAUGAUUUUUUUUCUGAAAUUGUUGACCAUCUAAGGCAUAGCUUUUAAAACUUUAUACAAUGUUUUGUUAACUCGUUAUAUGUGUCUUAUAAGUAGGAACUAUUGAUGGGAAAUUAAUGUGGUAGCUGAAGAAGAAGAAACAAGUGGAAAUAAGAAGGAGGAAGAGGAAGAGGAGAAGAAGGAGAAGAGAUAAUUUAAUGAAUACACACUGAAGAAUACUCGGUGACCUUUGCUUGAUAUAAUCAGCUUUGAUCUCAAUUAUUUUUCCUUCAAUGUCUUCUUAUUUUCGGAAAUCUCCUCGCCGAUAGGUUGUUUGUCUCUGAACUUUUCCUAUCUAGUCUCAAGUCGUUGCUACACUAAUGCAGUUUAUCAGAGUUGUCUUUGAUUGCUUUAUUGUACUUCUCGGGUUAUCUUUAAUUGAAUUGCAUGAGAUAAGACGAUGCAGGCAACGUUCUGGUGCUUGCAAUCGAAAGGUCGUACACUUUCUUGUGUUGCAAUGAUUACGAGCGACAUUUUAUUUCAAGAUCUGUCUUGCAUUCUGUUUUCUUAUCUAUCUUUUCGUCUUUUAUUAGUUGUUUGGUUCUCCAUAUAUUUAUGUUAUCAGGUCUUG